UGCCUCUGUGUUGCCCUCUCAUUGUUUUCCUCAUGAGCAGGGUGUCAGCCGAGGCGUACAGUGACUCUUGUGGUCGUGAAAGAAAUUAUCAUGAUUGAUCUUUUCUACACUGUUAGCUGCAAGAACACAA